rnacentral:rRNA from 1 species
UGGUUCUCCCCGAAAUAGCUUUAGGGCUAGCCUGAGGUAGUAAGUAUAGGCGGUAGAGCACUGAUCGGGCUAGGGGCCGUAAAGGUUACCGAACCCUGUCAAACUCCGAAUGGAUAUACUGUAGAGCCUUGGAGUCAGACUACGAGUGAUAAGAUCCGUGGUCAAAAGGGAAACAGCCCAGACCACCAGCUAAGGUCCCCAAUGUCGUACUAAGUGGAAAAGGAUGUGGGGUUUCAUAAACAACCAGGAUGUUGGCUCAGAAGCAGCCACCAUUUAAAGAGUGCGUAAUAGCUCACUGGUCGAGAGACCCUGCGCCGAAGAUUCCCGGGGCUAAAGUACGAAACCGAAGCUGUGGCUGUAUACGUAAAGUAUACGGGGUAGGGGAGCGUUCCCAUAGGGUAGAAGUCGAACUGGAAGGUUCGGUGGACUUGUGGGAAGUGAGAAUGUUGGUAUGAGUAGCGAAAAGAAAGGUGAGAAUCCUUUCCACCGAAAGCAUAAGGAUUCCUGAGCAACGAUCGUCGUCUCAGGGUAAGUCGGGACCUAAUCCGAGGCAGAGAGCGUAGGAGAUGGACAACUGGUUGAUAUUCCAGUACCGGUAGUAAUUGUUUGAGCAAUGGAGUGACACAGAAGGGCAGGCAAGCAUGCGAAUGGAAGAGCAUGUGUAAGCGUGUAGGGUGGUGCAUAGGCAAAUCCGUGCACUGAAAGCCUGAGGCGUGAUGCGGAGUGAGCAGAGAUGCGAGCGAAGUUGUUGACCCCACACUGUCGAGAAAAGCUUCUAGUGAGAGAGCUACCGCCCGUACCGUAAACCGACACAGGUAUGCGGGGAGAGAAUCCUAAGGUGCGCGGGAGAACCCUCGUUAAGGAACUCGGCAAAAUGUACCCGUAACUUCGGGAUAAGGGUAGCCACUGUUGUGAAGUCCCAUGCGGAUGGAGCAUAGAGUGGUCGCAGAGAAGAGGCCCAAGCGACUGUUUACCAUAAACACAGGUGCCUGCUAAAGCGAAAGCUGACGUAUAGGUGCUGACACCUGCCCAGUGCCGGAAGGUUAAGGAAGGAUGUUCGGAUUAGUCCAAAGCAUUCGACUGAAGCCCCGGUGAACGGCGGCCGUAACUAUAACGGUCCUAAGGUAGCGAAAUUCCUUGUCGGGUAAGUUCCGACCCGCACGAAAGGUGUAACGAUUUGGGCACUGUCUCAACGAGGGACCCGGUGAAAUUGAAAUACCUGUGAAGAUGCAGGUUACCCGCGACUGGACAGAAAGACCCCAUGGAGCUUUACUGUAACCUGACAUUGGGUUUUGAUACAUUACGUACAGGAUAGGUGGGAGGCUUGGAAAGCUGGACGCUAGUCUGGCUGGAGCCGACGUUGGGAUACCACCCUUGAUGUAUUGAAAUUCUAACCGCGAGAGUAACGAAAUCCGGGACAGUGUCAGGCGGGCAGUUUGACUGGGGCGGUCGCCUCCGAAAGAGUAACGGAGGCGCCCAAAGGUUCCCUCAGCGCGGCCGGAAAUCGCGCGAAGAGUGUAAAGGCAGAAGGGAGCUUGACUGCGAGUCAAACACGACGAGCAGGUACGAAAGUAGGGCUUAGUGAUCCGGUGGUACCGAGUGGAAGGGCCAUCGCUCAACGGAUAAAAGCUACCCUGGGGAUAACAGGCUAAUCUCUCCCAAGAGUCCAUAUCGACGGGGAGGUUUGGCACCUCGAUGUCGGCUCAUCACAUCCUGGGGCUGAAGUCGGUCCCAAGGGUUGGGCUGUUCGCCCAUUAAAGUGGUACGUGAGCUGGGUUCAGAACGUCGUGAGACAGUUCGGUCCCUAUCCAUCGCGGGCGCAAGAGAUUUGAAGGGGGCUGCUCCUAGUACGAGAGGACCGGAGUGGACGAACCGCUGGUGUACCAAUUAUCCCGCCAGGGGUACAGUUGGGUAGCUACGUUCGGAAAGGAUAAACGCUGAAAGCAUCUAAGCGUGAAACCAGCCUUAAGAUGAGAUCUCUCAUAGAGCAAUCUAGUAAGACACCUUAAAGAAGAUGAGGUUGAUAGGUCGGGAGUGUAAGUACAGCAAUGUAUUGAGCGGACCGAUACUAAUAUGUCGAGGGCUUGACUUA